UCAGACAACCGUGCGACCACCCUAGCGAGGUCAAGACCAUGCUAGGUAGCGAUCCUCUACGGCGCAGAGACUCCGAGGAGAAUCGUAGCCGUUAAUCACACUCAAAUCGCACAGCCAUGAAUCAUCAUCAGGUUUUAAAGGCCUGUCUCCUUAGAAAUCAAAGACACAGAAGUUCUCCCUAUAGAACAGAUCCUGUUCAAGUAAGGUCGUGACCACUGAUGCUUCCUAAACAUAUAUAAACAAGCCAACUCUUCUUUGAGUUUCCGAUGUGGGACUGUCGUUUUCCCACUUAUUCAGGAGGAGAUGACUACUACACUCGCGUUUGGAGUAUCAAAUCUGGUCAACUUCUGUCUGAGAAUAAAAUUCUUUAACACAGUUCCUUCAGUUGUGUGUUGGUCUUCUGUUGAAGGGCAAAGAGACUUGAAAGAUGGCGGCAUUGUCCAUGGGGGCAUGGCUUGGAUCGCAUAAAGGGAUAUUCAACAUGUUUUAAGACAUUCACAGCUUAACAAGAGGUUGCAAGAGAUUCAUAUUCCAAUCGAUACCAGCAGCAACCGUCGUGAUCUUGAGGAUACAACAGUUUUCCUUUAGCCUUGUAACAGACUAACAGUAGUAGUAGAAUCAGUUGCUAUGAAAUUGUAGAAAGUUGCUUUGAAAUUGUAGAAACUCCAGUUUUUGAAAGAUAUAACAGCAAAGACUUGCUUGUGGAAUCUAAUCUCGUGUUCAUAGAAAUUGUCAACUAUUUUGACUACGGUCCUCCAUGUCCAUUUUACUCAUAGGGUGAAUUUGCUCAAUAUAUAAUAGAGGAAAGAAUUAAGAAUAUAGCAAUUCUACGGUAGCAUUCGGCAGAUGGAACAAUUUGCACAUAAAUAUGACUGAAAUCUCUUUCUAAGCGCGUGCAAGUGAAGUUAUUGACACUCCAAAAUUAAAGCUAUCAUACUAUAGUCAAUCACACAAACACAAAUGAAUUAACUAGUUACAAGGUUGAGUUUCAUCCACUACGUGACUAUAUUAUACAUGAUUAUGAUAUAGUAUAGAAUACUCGAUACAAUCACAUAAUUUUGUAUAUAUGAAAUUAUUUUUUAUUAAUAAGAUUCAGAAGGUGUAAGAAUACAUAUGAUAUGAAUCAUUAAAUCAUUAAUCACUUGAAUGUUUCUGUAAUAAAAUAGAACUUAACAAAAACACUUUAAAAAAUGAAACAUAUUUAUGUUAUAUUCUAUGUUCCUAUUAAAAUAGAAUAAUGCACUGCAAUUGUAAUUGUUUUUCUCCAGAAGUUAUCAUAUCUGUAGAAAUCAAAGUGGAUUAACAGUUCAUUCAUUGACCUCAUGUAUCGAUCAUUGAUGCAUUCAAUUGAUAUGAACGAAGCCACCGCCGAUCUCUGCUUACCACCAUUGUUGGAGCCAUCGUCGUUACUGCUUAUUCUCAAUGACUCUUUUUUAUUAUUUCAUUCUUCAUGUGAGUUAUAUAUGAGUUAUGUUUAUUUGUAAUCCUUACAUAACAAACAAAAUAUCAAAAAAAUCAUGUGGUUAAUGAAACAUACGCACUGGAUAGUUUUGUCAUUAAUACAUAAUAUAUAGACAAUAUCGUAGCCAUCAACUUGUUAUGUGUAUAGACUUAAUAUUUUUUCCUGUUAUGCACAUGUUCCCUAAUUUCCCUUACUCAUAUAUGUUAGGUUGUUCUUGUGUAAGGCAAACAAAUCAUAAGCUCUUCCACAAUCUCCUCGCUACAAGUCAGAUUUACCGAAGCCUUCUCAUCCAUAUACUUGUCAACUGUUUUUACUUGACUUCAACUUUUCUUGAAUAUCUGUCCACUUAACAAACUCCACAAGUAAAAGAUUCUCAAACUGUUCCCUGUGAAAAAUCAUGAAUAAUUAUGUUUUGAAUGUUAAUACGUGACUAACAAUUGCGUAGCUUAAAAAACAAAUUAAGUGAUGAUUGGUUUAACUCUAGAUAUAGAAUUUUGUUGUAGGAUUCAUUUAGUCUGUAGAUUUUAUUAUUGUAACUGUAUGUUUUUUUUUUCUGUAUAAAAUACCUACUACAACUUUUAAAUCAUUUUAAUAGUUGUUUUAAGAAAAAUAAAUAAAAGAUGGUGUAAUUUUGAUUUUAGGAUUCAUUAAAUUAUUAUAUUCUGAUUGAAAAACAAACACUAUAAAAAUGUUGUAGACUUUAUCAUAACGGGUUAAGAGCUUAAGAUUCUUAAUUUACAGUUGCAUAAAAUUAAAGAAUUUUAUCUUUACAUGUUCAUUCUCAAUAACACUACAAACGAGAACAAUAACUAAUAUUAAAAAAGCGUUGAAAAAAUCAAGUUCUAAUAAUUGUUUGAUUUCAAGUCCGUUUAAGACAGAUUCUUCUUCAGCUAUGGUUUCCAGCUUCGGUUUCUUAGACUUCGAAUUCGAGAUUCUAUGCAUAAACUCCGCCGCCGAAAACUCAUCAAUGUCUUCUAAACUCAUCAGCUUAGAUCCCGCCGACAUCAUCUUGACGUCAUCCUCUCCCUCCGGCGAAAUCCUUCCGUUGUGACAGUGUUUCACGGCUGUUUUGACUCGUCGGCGCUGUUGUUUCUUGGCGGCUAGAAAUAACCGAGCCAUCAUUAAUUCAAAAUAAUCUUCAAUCACUAUGUAAUUUAGAUUAUAUUUGUUCUGUAUAGAAUCUUUAUAUAUAAAGUUAGAUUUUUCUCUUCUUAUGACAAGUGGCAAGGGGGUUUGAUGACAUGUGUCUUUCAUAUUUUUUUUUUACAUUUUAAAUCCUUUUUCUUAUAGAUUAUUGCAAUUUAGCGAAGUACUUUCUAAUUAUGCACUAUUUACUCUUUUAAUAUUAACCAUCUUUGUAUAAAAUUUGAUAAUUUAUUUUAUUGGUCACUAAAAUUCAAGAUGAAUAAAAAAUAAAUAAAUAAAAUAAAUAAAUAAAUAAUUUUAAAUAUUUUUUAUUAUUUUUGUUAUUUUAUCAUUUUCUAUUAUUUUAUGAUGAGAGGAUUCAUGAUGAGGAAGAAGAGAAGCAUGACGAGCAAAACCAAGAUAAACUUAUGUAUGCAGACUCUCACAACAGGAUAUGUAUGAUUCGGGAAGAGGCGGUCGGUAUGGAUAUCGAGGAAGAGGUCGUGGUAGAUUUGGAUAUCAACAAAACAGAUAUUAUAGGCAAGAGAGAGACACAUCAAAGGUUGAGUGUUACCGAUGUGAUAAGAUAGGUCACUUCGCUCAGAACUGCCCUACAACUUCCACAAAUAACCAAACUAAUAAGAAAAAACUAGAAUACAACACAUAAUCUAAACCUACAACUUCCACAACCAAAAGAAAAAAACCAAUUAUACUAUAGUAACACUAACUCAA